AGUGAACGCUGGCGGUAGGCCUAACACAUGCAAGUCGAACGGCAGCACAGUAAGAGCUUGCUCUUACGGGUGGCGAGUGGCGGACGGGUGAGGAAUACAUCGGAAUCUACUUUUUCGUGGGGGCUAACGUAGGGAAACUUACGCUAAUACCGCAUACGACCUACGGGUGAAAGCAGGGGAGCUUCGGACCUUGCGCGAUUGAAUGAGCCGAUGUCGGAUUAGCUAGUUGGCGGGGUAAAGGCCCACCAAGGCGACGAUCCGUAGCUGGUCUGAGAGGAUGAUCAGCCACACUGGAACUGAGACACGGUCCAGAGUCCUACGGGAGGCAGCAGUGGGGAAUAUUGGACAAUGGGCGGAAGCCUGAUCCAGCCAUACCGCGUGGGUGAAGAAGGCCUUCGGGUUGUAAAGCCCUUUUGUUGGGAAAGAAAAGCAGCAGGUUAAUACCCCGCUGUUCUGACGGUACCCAAAGAAUAAGCACCGGCUAACUUCGUG
rnacentral:rRNA from 1 species